rnacentral:rRNA from 1 species
AGCUCCAAUAGCGUAUAUUAAAGUUGUUGCGGUAAAAAGCUCGUAGUUGGAUUUCUGUUGAGGGCGACCGGUCCUGUCAACGACAGCGUAUCUGGCGCGCGCUCGGCAUCCUCUCGAUAGACGUUUCUGCGCUUGAUUGCGUGGAGCGGAUCUCGGGACUUUUACUUUGAGGAAAUUAGAGUGUUCACGGCAGGCUAUCGCCAGAAUACAUUAGCAUGGAAUAAUACUAUAGGAUCUUGGUUCUAUUUUGUUGGUUUCUAGAAUUGAGAUAAUGAUUAAUAGGGACAAUUGGGGGCAUUCGUAUCAACACGUCAGAGGUGGAAUUCUUGGAUUGUGUUGCGACGAACUACUGCGAAAGCAUUUGCCAAGGAUGUUUUCA